rnacentral:tRNA from 1 species
UCCCUAAUAGCUCAGUUGGUAAAGAAUCUGCCUGCAAUGCAGGAGAUCUGGGUUCAAUCCCUGGGUUGGGAA